CAUCUUAAAUAACGUGAGGUUGUUAGGUUAAUUCUGGAUUCAAUGCAGAGGAUUGGAGUCUGGUCUGAAGGAGUUGGAUUUAAUUCCAAAAUUUUCAUUAUUUCUAGAGUUAUCAGAAUAAACCAGCCAUUCUCGACAGGCGGUUCUUUGGCAUUUGGCAUUACCUAGAGAUAUUUUCAUUGUGAUAACAAGAGGAUCACUAUUGACAUCUAGGGCAGCUGCCCUCCUAUAUACACAGGGUGGGCCCCAUGACAGGGAAGAUUCUAGACUCAAAUGUUAGUACUGCUGGGGUUGGAGAAACCUUGGAUCAACCAAACCCUUGGGCCUGCUCAGUCGUGUGACUUCCUCCCAGGCAGGCAAAGCUAGUCCUGAGGUAUGAGGACAAGAUCACAGACAAGGACAGCGUGAGCCCCCAGAGCUGCAGACCCUGCUGCGUCCCCUCACUCCCCUCCCCAGGUGGGCAAGCUCUCUGCCGCCCGGAGAUCUGCCCUACAGAAGACUCAAGACAGCAGAUCUGGGAACCCGGCCUGCCUCAGGACACGUGAAGGCUGAGCAGGGACCCUGGGGCACCACUGCUUACCUCGCCUGGCCUGCAGACCUCCUGGGGCAGGUGGGAGGAAGCCCUGAGCUCAGCUAAUCACCACACCCUGCUGGACACAGGACAGCAUUCUCCAUGAUGCAUGAUGGUGUGUCCUAGCUUGAAACUUUCAGGAGAAAAAGGCAAAGAUUGGUCAAAUGAGCUGAUCUAAGGGAUUCCGUAAAGAGGAAGAAAAUACAGUUGUAGGUUGCUUACGCAGAAGCACUUAAGGCAGAAGGUGUGAUCUCCAAACGAAUGUGCCUCCCUCAUAAACACCCCCAUUUUAUACAUUACUGUUAGGUAAGUUCCAGAGGAAAAUUUUUUAAAAAAUGAAACAAAAUGCUUUGUGUCUGAGGGAUGGGCAGUUGAGCUCUGGAGGAAGCUGUGGUUUGUUGUGUUUCUGGUUGUUCUUCGUCUAGGUACGGGAAGCUGGGGUGCCUCUUGCUCCAUGACCUUGGGCGUGGCUUAGUGGCUUUGGACCAGGCAGCCGGGUGUGAGGAUUUAUCAGUGUGUCCUUGAGUGUCUCCUUGACUUUUUGCCUCAGUUUUCUUAUCUGUGGAGUGGAGGUGAUAACAGUGUGAGAAUCCAGUGAGUCAAUAUUGACAGGGUGCUCAGAACAGUGCCAGUAUGUCUGUGCUCUGGUUCUAAGUCAGCCUCAGAGACCGUGGUCCUCUCCUCUCGCCAUCGCCAUGAUCACAUGACGAGUUCUGGCCCAGCUCUGACCGAGGCCCUGAUGGAGAACCAGCAAGGACUUCACUCUGCUUGGCUUCCCAGGGGGGUCACCAACAGGCCCCAACAGAGGUCUUUGGUUAAACUGAGUUAUGACAGAAAUCCCAUCCCCAGGGCUCUGGAGCAAUGCUCUUGUUUUGGAGACCAGAGCUGGAGAAGAUUCUAGAAAGAGCAUGGAGACAGUGAAAUCUCGUGAUCCCAUGUAGCCCCUGGAGACAGAGGCCUGGGGACUUGAGGUACAAGGACCAGCUGGCCUGGAGUGGCACCAACGGUCCUUUUCGCUCCCAAGUCUGUGACCCUGGGUUGCAUAGAAAUGAAGGUUGGAGGUCCCCAGCCACCAGCCUGUUCCUUUCUUGCUCUUUGAGGACAGGACACUGCUCAUUGAUUGCACCACCCCCUCACCUGGCCAGGGCCUGCCACCCUCAAGGUCUUGGCAUCAGGGAUGGCUGUGGGCUCUGUGCUGCUGAGACUUGCUACCUCUCCACCUGGCCCCCUGACCAGGCGUGUGCACCCCAGGUGAGCAGCUGCCAGGGAGUGAGUUCAAGUGACAGGGCCCCAUGGGGUAGUGCAACGCCAAGGGACUGUCCAGGUGUGAGAGACACUGGGGCGGGGAGAGAUGGUGAGCCUCCCCAGGAGCCAGAGGACACCUUAUAGGCCAGGGCAAGGACUCUCGGGAGUUGUCAUGUCUUUGUGGAACCAGAUCUGUCUACACUAGCUGCGGGGGACAACCAGGAGUGAAGGGGAUCAGAAAGGAUGCUGUUUCCUUGAGCCAGGCAUCAAGGUGUGUAUAUUAACAUAACAUGUUAUGUGUGCUGACGGAAUGCAUGACGUGCUAAUCCUGUGCUCCAGAGAGCGUUAUCGCUGCAUGCUAAUGCGACAUGUCCUGCAUUUUCAAUGAGGCAUCAGUUGUGUGGUGUGCCAUUAAUGUAAUAUAAAGUUCGUAUAAUUGUGAUGCACAAUGUGCUAACGACACAGCAGGGAGGGUGUUGAUAGCAUGAUGUGAAGUGCACAUCACUGAAAUAUCCAGUGUGUAUGUGGCAAGAUAUGUAAUGUGUUACCAAAUUGAUGCAAGAUGUGCUAACAGUGUAACGUGUUACUAAAGUAACAUGUGAUGUGCUGACGCAAUCAGGAGGUUGUUAAUGAUAUAACAGAUGACGUGCACUGCCACAGAGCGUUAUUGUUAGCGCCAUGUGCCAUGUGCUGUUCAUGCAGUGAGUGCUGACACAGCAGCGCUGUGUGUCAGGGAAGCUCAGGCUCAACCUGCUAAUGCAGCACAUCCAACAGGAGCAAUGCGUGUUCACACAGCACGUGCUGAGUCCUGGAACAACACUCAAGGUGUCCCUCAUGCCACAUGCGGGACAGAUUGGAUGUGAUUAGAAUCAGAAGGACUGCAAGGACAUGGCCUUGGCCGAGGUCUUGCUCAGUGACCUGUCCUGGCCCAGGGCUCUUCUCAAAGGCUGUGUGGGGACAAAACCACUAGGGCAAGCUCUCAAGGAAAGACCUGGACUUUCCACAGCCAGAGGGAAAGUCCACAGGAACUGAUCCCUGCCCCGGGAGCCAGCCCCACACACAUACACACCCCACUCACACACACACACACACACUGUGGUAUCACAGGAGUGAUAGCUUGUGCCCCUCCUUGCUCUGUCUCUUUGAUGGGAAUUGUUUUUAAAAGGCUUUCAAAAUAAUAAAUACUCCAAAGUUGUUUCAAAACACUACAUGUUCUAGCUGUCUAUGAAGAGAAGACAAAGCUAGGUAGAUGAUGGAGGUGACGGACAGACAGAUGGUGGCUAGAGCGAUGGAUGACAGGUAGGCAGAUGAGGACAGGUAGGCAGAUGAUGACAGGUAGGCAGAUGAGGACAGGUAGGCAGAUGGUGGACAGGUAGGCAGGUGAUGGACAGGUAGGCAGAUGAGGACAGGUAGGCAGAUGAGGACAGGUAGGCAGAUGUGGACAGGUAGGCAGAUGAGGACAGGUAGGCAGGCGAUGGACAGGUAGGCAGAUGGUGGACAGGUAGGCAGGUGAUGGACAGGUAGGCAGAUGGUGGACAGGUAGGCAGGUGAUGGACAGGUAGGCAAAUGAGGACAGGUAGGCAGGUGAUGGACAGGUAGGCAGAUGAGGACAGGUAGGCAGAUGGUGGACAGGUAGGCAGGUGAUGGACAGGUAGGCAGAUGAGGACAGGUAGGCAGAUGAUGACAGGUAGGCGGAUGAGGACAGGUAGGCGGAUGAGGACAGGUAGGCAGAUGGUGGACAGGUAGGCAGGUGAUGGACAGGUAGGCAGAUGAGGACAGGUAGGCAGAUGAGGACAGGUAGGCAGAUGAGGACAGGUAGGCAGAUGUGGACAGGUAGGCAGAUGACAGACAAUGAAGUUCCUACUCUUCGGCCUCAACGCUGUGGAUGCUGGGAGGGUCAUUUAGUGCUGUGGGGCUGUCCCGGGGGGUGAGUGGAGGGGACGCUGCCCACUGCUUUCCCAUGUGGGGUUUCUUUUCAGGCAGGAAGUCACAGCUCUCUAGUGAUAAGAGUGAGCAAGGUCUUGUGGGCCUGGGGGUGUUUAAAACGAAAUCCAAGUUCCCAGGUCCAACCAGGAGGCCUUGACAAUUCCUGGGGAGAACAAGGAGUCUCGAAGGUCAAUGUCGGAUCUGGGCCCGAGGACCUGGAGGGUGAGCCUGGGCGGAGAGCCGGCCUCCGCACAGCUGGCGGCCAUUGGCGCACGGGAGGGUGAGCUAAGGGGGCCGGCAUUUCUGGCUCUCAGAACCUGUGGGUGACCCACACUGCAGCCUUUGUGACUCCUUCUUUCUGUGAUGGCCAUUUGCCACAUGCAGCUUCCCUGAGUUUGGAGCGAUGACCAGAUGGGAACCAGGCUACAGCCCGUCGGGCAGGUUUUGCCUGUGACAUGUAGAGCAAUGAGGUCCUCUGUGUUUCGACUCUGCCACUCACAAGCCCUGGACGGGAACCAGGAAGGGCCUCACAGGACCCCAGGAAGACCUCCAGGACUUGUUCACGCGUCAGUGUCUCCGGCUGAUGGCCAGCGCUCCUUGGGGGGAGGACCCCAUGGCCGGACACCACGCAGCCUGAGCCAACUGCUGGCUCAGAGGUCCUCAGAGAGGCCCUCCGCCUCUGAUGCCAUUGCUACGGACCCCCUGUCAGAAGAGCGGCCCUGAGGAAGCCAGAUACGACUUUGUCCCUGGGGGAAAAGGAUUCUGAGAGCAGGACUGAACCCAGCAGCCCCACCCGCCAGGUUCCGCCUUCUCCUCAGGCGCCACACCCUGGUGAGAGUGACCUCAACAGUCAGAAACAGCCCCUCUGGUGGAAGAAGUAAGAGUGGAGAAUGUCUCUGAGGGCCAUUUCCUUCUAGUCUGGGAGGACAGCAAGGGGUCCAGGCUGUCAGCGAUCGGGCGGGGCGGGGGGGCAGGUUCUCGCCUUGGCCAGCGCUGCCGGAGGGAGACAGGACAGAAGCAAAAGAGAAGAAGGACACAGGCACAGGUCAGAGGCGAGGAGGAGGGAGCGCAGCAGGGCGGGCGGAGCUCUGGGGGUCACGCCUGCAGGAGCAGAGUCUGAAUGCCAGCUCUCUGCCUCUUGGUUGUGGGAGCUUGGCUGAGUCACUUACUCUUUCAAAUCACCUGGCGCACAGCAUGGGAGGUGCCAUCACAGACCCCAAAAGUGACAGGAAUUCUAGAAGUGACACAUUUGCAGUCAACAGCUACUGUGGCGGCUGCAUUGUGCUACCUACGUCACCGUCUGUCAUCACCAUGCUACGAACUAGUCCCCAGGAAAGCAAACACAUAAGAUCAAUAAAAUACCUCCUUCAAACUUGGAGUUGGCUGAGGGGUUCUCUUGGGCCAGCACUUUAUAAACUGGACUUUGGAGCAGAGCAUGUCAGAGUAACUCAGGAAAUGCACGUUCUGCCCUACUGAGUUGCACAUGCCGUAUAUUCCAAGAACCUGGUACAACUUGCUUAAAUUAACUUCAGGGCAAAUUAUUUUCGUUCAUUGUGUUGAAGCUGGGGCCGAAGCUGACUACAUGUGAGGCAAACUAUGCAGUCUUUACAACAAGCCCACAAGGAAGCCUUAGCGGUUCUACUCUGGCUAAGAAAACUCAGGCCACUUGCCCAAGGUAACAGCUAUCAAGUAAGACGUCAGGAUUUGAUGCAGAUCUGCCUGAUUUUAAAUCCUAAGCUCUUCACACCCCAUCAUGAAGUCAUCCUACCAGAGAUGGCUACAUAAUUUGUGUAGCCCAGGGCAAAAUAAAAAUGCAGAGCCCCUUG